rnacentral:tRNA from 1 species
GGGGCUGUAGCUCAGCUGGGAGAGCACCUGCUUUGCAAGCAGGGGGUCAGCGGUUCGACCCCGCUCAGCUCCACCA